rnacentral:rRNA from 1 species
UACGAAGGGGCUAGCGUUGCUCGGAAUCACUGGGCGUAAAGGGUGCGUAGGCGGGUUUUAAGUCAGAGGUGAAAUCCUGGAGCUCAACUCCAGAACUGCCUUCGAUACUGGAGAGCUUGAGUCCGGGAGAGGUGAGUGGAACUGCGAGUGUAGAGGUGAAAUUCGUAGAUAUUCGCAAGAACACCAGUGGCGAAGGCGGCUCACUGGCCCGGUACUGACGCUGAGGUGCGAAAGCGUGGGAGCAA